rnacentral:rRNA from 1 species
CAGAGGGGGCAAGCGUUGUUCGGAAUUACUGGGCGUAAAGGGCGCGUAGGCGGCCUGUUAAGUCGAACGUGAAAUCCCCGGGCUCAACCCGGGAACUGCGUCCGAUACUGGCAGGCUUGAAUCCGGGAGAGGGAUGCGGGAUUCCAGGUGUAGCGGUGAAAUGCGUAGAUAUCUGGAGGAACACCGGUGGCGAAGGCGGCAUCCUGGACCGGCAUUGACGCUGAGGCGCGAAAGCCAGGGGGAGCAAACGGGACUAGAUACCCCGGUAGUCCUGGCCCUAAACGAUGAAUGCUUGGUGUGGCGGGUAUCGAUCCCUGCCGUGCCGAAGCUAACGCAUUAAGCAUUCCGCCUGGGGAGUACGGUCGCAAGGCUG